UUGAACGCUGGCGGCAUGCCUUACACAUGCAAGUCGAACGGUAGAGGGGCAACCCUUGAGAGUGGCGAACGGGUGAGUAAUAUAUCGGAACGUGCCCAGUCGUGGGGGAUAACGCAGCGAAAGCUGCGCUAAUACCGCAUACGAUCUAAGGAUGAAAGCGGGGGAUCGCAAGACCUCGCGCGAUUGGAGCGGCCGAUAUCAGAUUAGGUAGUUGGUGGGGUAAAAGCCUACCAAGCCGACGAUCUGUAGCUG
rnacentral:rRNA from 1 species